rnacentral:rRNA from 1 species
UACGUAGGGUGCGAGCGUUGUCCGGAAUUAUUGGGCGUAAAGAGCUUGUAGGCGGUUUGUCGCGUCUGCCGUGAAAAUCCGGGGCUCAACCCCGGGUCUGCAUUCGAUACGGGCAGACUAGAGUGUGGUAGGGGAGAUCGGAAUUCCUGGUGUAGCGGUGAAAUGCGCAGAUAUCAGGAGGAACACCGAUGGCGAAGGCAGGUCUCUGGGCAUUAACUGACGCUGAGGAGCGAAAGCAUGGGGAGCGAACAGG